AUCCUUUUGUAGUUCAUAAGCGUGAUGACUGGGUUGCCAUGUGACUGCGUGAGAUGUGCCACUCACAAACCUUGUCAACAGCGUCAGCACAUCACCCGUCUGACA
ensembl:snoRNA